GCAGCCGCAGCUCCGCAGGGAUAGCGGAGCGCCAAGGUAGCAGCGCUUCCUCUCCAUCCGCAAGGUGCUGUGUUGCAGCCUAUACCGGUGUUGUGCUCUGUGUUCCCUGCUGCCUUCCGUCUCCGCACCCGGCUAAGUCACUGCGGGUGCGCGCUCGGAGCGUGCUCUCCGCUCGGCUCUUAAAGGCUUGAGGUUUCUCCCUCACGUCUUUCUGCUUCGCAGCCUCCUGGAGGCAGAUGGAAACUUUUCCUUGGCCAGCGCUGCUGGUUCUGCAGCACCCAGCGCGCCCUGCCCUGGGCAUUCUAGGGACCCAAUGUCCUGAUGUCUUGGAAGUUGUCAGAUCAGGAGCACCAUAGACUCCAGUGUCAUUGAGGGAUGCUGCCCUGGGUCUGGAGACUACUGAAAGAAUGUCAGGAUAAUGGCAUGGGGUUCCUGUUCCCCUGAAGGGGUCUCCUCAUGUUGGUUGUGAUGUAGAUCAUGGACACUGGCAUAGCGGAGUGAAGAAGGACAUCAAUGCACAACGCAUUCCAGGCCUUAAUGCAGUGACCUCAGCACAACACGGAACACCUUUUCGCUCUGCAUGAGCAGGCAUAGGAGAAGCCUAGAAUUCUGGGGAUUUGGGUUCCAGAGUAGAGACCUAGCUGAUUCUACCCCAUGCCAGCAGACCCAAAGAGUGCCAUGGAUGAGAAGUCUCCCUAUAUCUGGCCGCCUCCAGUCUUCCCUAUUCCGGUGUAACUUUUAGACCCAAGAGAUCCUUGUGAAGUGUUCUGUACUCUGUACUAUUGUCUUCUUGACCACUUCAAUAAAUGUUGAACAUGCUAUUAUGCUACUA